UACGAAGGGGGCUAGCGUUGUUCGGAAUUACUGGGCGUAAAGCGCGUGUAGGCGGGUCUUUAAGUCAGGGGUGAAAUGCCAAGGCUCAACCUUGGAACUGCCUUUGAUACUGGAGACCUUGAGUCCGGGAGAGGUGAGUGGAAUUGCGAGUGUAGAGGUGAAAUUCGUAGAUAUCGGGAGGAACACCUGUGGCGAAAGCGGCGCACUGGACCACAACUGACGCUGAGGCGCGAAAGCUAGGGGAGCAAACAGG
rnacentral:rRNA from 1 species